rnacentral:rRNA from 1 species
AUUGAACGCUGGCGGCAGGCCUAACACAUGCAAGUCGAACGAGUGGCGAACGGGUGAGUAAUCUCUGGGAAACUGCCUGAUAGAGGGGGAUAACUACUAGAAACGGUAGCUAAUCCCGCAUACCAUCAGAUGUGCCCAGAUGGGAUUCGCUUGUUGGGGGGGUAACGGCUCACCAAGGCGACGAUCCCUAGCUGGUCUGAGAGGAUGACCAGCAAAACUGGAACUGAGACACGGUCCAGACUCCUACGGGCGGCAGCAGUGGGGAAUAUUGCACAAUGGGCGGAAGCCUGAUGCAGCCAUGCCGCGUGUAUGAAGAAGGCCUUCGGGUUGUAAAGUACUUUCAGCGGGGAGGCGUUACCAGCAGAAGAAGCACCGGCUAACUCCGUGCCAGCAGCCGCGGUAAUAC